rnacentral:rRNA from 1 species
GACGAACGCUGGCGGCGUGCUUAACACAUGCAAGUCGAACGAUGAAGCCCAGCUUGCUGGGUGGAUUAGUGGCGAACGGGUGAGUAACACGUGGGCAACCUGCCCCAAACUCUGGAAUAACUCCUCGAAAGAGGUGCUAAUACCGGAUACGAACUAGACAGACAUCUGUACUAGUUGGAAAGUUUUUCGGUUUGGGAUGGGCCCGCGGCCUAUCAGCUUGUUGGUGAGGUAACGGCUCACCAAGGCUACGACGGGUAACCGGCCUGAGAGGGCGACCGGUCACACUGGGACUGAUACACGGCCCAGACUCCUACGGGAGGCAGCAGUGGGGAAUAUUGCGCAAUGGGCGAAAGCCUGACGCAGCGACGCCGCGUGAGGGAUGAAGGUCUUCGGAUCGUAAACCUCUUUCAGUAGGGACGAAGCGAAAGUGACGGUACCUAAAGAAGAAGCACCGGCUAACUACGUGCCAGCAGCCGCCGUAA